CUCUUGGCAGGGAACAAAUAGACAUUUGAGAAUGACUUAUUUUUUCAUUGCCAGGUAUAACGCUCCCCUAGUCUUCCAUCAUCAACUGUAUGCAGUCCUAUAAACACAAGAGUGGGUCAUUAAAAUGGGCAUCUCUCACUGUUGUUGGCUGGUAGAAAAUGAAAUAUUUUCUCUCCUUCCCUGAAAAGAGAAAGGUGGCUGAGGACUUCCUCUCUGGCCUAUCUUCUCCCACUCCUUGUUCCUUUCUACCUCUGCAGAAUGGAUCUGCUCACCAGGAAGGAGCUAUAAUAUGGAGCGAAGGAAAACUGCUUUACCACUUUAACCUCUCACAGUCUGAGAAAGAAAUUACAAAGAAAACGAACCUCUUCUUAAGCCAGUAUCCCACCUUGUACCUACUACCUUCAUGAACAAAACCCUCUUCCUGAUGUGCUUUUGAAUCCACUCGCAUGGUGGUCAAUGGGGGAGCAUACUGUCAGUUAAUGUACAAGGCUGUGUCACCACUCCUGAACAAGUGAGGGAAUUUACUGGGAGAGACCAACACGCAAUGUGUGAAUGAGAAGAGCUUGCUUAUACUUUUUUCUGCCUAGGGUUUCCAAGCAUCUGUGUUUCCCAGGUUGGAGUUUUUGCUGAAGAAAACAUGAAAAACAAGACAUCUAAAUUUAACUUCAUAAAUAUGAGAGACUUCACAAAUGACCUUGAGGGAAGUUCUGUAACUGCUCUGUGUCUUGUUCCAACAAAAAGUGAAGAUGAUACUUAUAUGAGGCUAAGUAUUAUUUUUGUGGAAAGGUGUUCCAUACACUGGGUGGAAUAUACCAGGAAAUGACUCAGAGUAUAUUCUCAUAAUCUGUACCAGAAUAGUAUUUCUCUUUGUGGUGUGCCUAAAUGAGCAUCCAUGCCUUACUGUGUUAGGUACUGUGCAUACACAAUAAAAGAUUAGCUGAAAAAAAUGCCAUUUAAAUACAAAAAAAAAAAAAAAAAAUCAAGAAAAUAGGGACAGGAAAGACAGGGGUGAUGAGAAGAGACAAUCUUUUAUUAACACUACAGAAUGUUAUGUUAUCAAAACAUGGAAAAUAAUUCUAUUUAUUGGCUUGGUUAUUGUAUCUACAUGGGUAGGUGAAAAUAGAGCUAUGCUAACCUUUCUUGGGCUCUGAUGUGCCUUAGACACUGUUAGAUCAGUGCAUUAUCUGAAGCCUGAUGCUGUGUUAAUGUGGCUGGAUGGCUUCUAGUCAAAGAACAAUGAGAGGAGCUUUGGUCCCUGUCUGUGCCUUCUGGAUAAACAACUCUGUGCUUCACAGCAUAAAAUGUUUAUGAGGCUACAUCCCAUGUAACUGUUGGAAAUGGUAAGCUGCAGAAUUCCACUUUUGGAUUUGUAGAUCCCACCAAAAUUCACCCCAGUUCUACUUUCCUUACAACAUAAUUUUAAAUAUGUUGUAAUGAGCUAUUUCUAGUGCAAAACAGAGAGAAUACCAGGAACAUUGCUUUCACUUUACUUCCCUCACUGUCUCCUUCCAUCCCUCCCUCCAAAAAUUGGAAAUUUUUGAAGAGAUUCUCACUUGGCUAUUGAAGAAAUUUCCAAAUCUUUUACUCCAAAUUUCAGAUUCUCUCCACCCAUUAUGUUCUUAAAGAAUCAUGUGCACCUCUAUACCAAAUAUAAGCUGUUUUCACCAAGACCAAACGCUAUAUCUACAAACAGAUUUUUUCCCAAGUCAAACUCCUACCGACUCAAUACUUUCACAAAGUACCACCUGCAACUGCCAAUGACUUUUGCAGGGCAAAUAGUGACUACCAUUUCUACCCAGAAAAUCACCUCUCUGACUGCAUUUGAGUUUAGAGGACUCAGUUUUGGGAGCCAAGUCGAACUGUAGUUCUUCAAGGGAUCCUUUCAUCUUGUUUAUGUGAGAGCGACAGUCCAACAAGUGAACCACAAAGAGCAACAAAGAAAAACAAUCCAGUUUAAAAAAAAAAAAAAAAAAAAAAAAGGAAAUAUGUGGCUCAAAACAAAUGUUACCACCAAGGAAAACAGAAACCUUCACACUUUAACAGGACUGCCUGAAGAACACAUGAAUGCCACUCCUGCCUGUGUGUUUCCUGACGGGCACUACCAGUGGGAGCUGAUUGUACUGGAGUAACGCACUCCUGGUACCUAUACACUGAAUUAGUCUUCACACAGGAAUGAGGAGGCAACAUGGGAAAUAUCUUAAAAAUCUAAAUCCCUCAGGAUUCCUGGAGACAUUUCAAAAUAAAUUCCUUGCUGAUACCAUUUUGAUUUGACCAUACAGUUCAUUUUUAAAGUGUCAAGUUGUUUUUAAAAAUAAAUUUCUAAUGCAUAUUUCUAAUUUGUAAUAUAUACUUAUUAGACUUUCCAUGUCAUGCAUUUUAAUUGUAAGUUCUAACUGACUGGUUUAAUGAUACUUUGCAAAGUAAACUCAACAUGUAGGUCAUAAGUUCAGAGUGAAUGAAUCCCUGGAUGUUUACCAAAUACCAAAAUUAAAUUACAUUCUUAAUUGUUUUGCAAAUACUUUGGCCUAACUAAUUAAAUAGGAAUGACUUUCUGUGUUGCUAUAGUGCAAGGAAUAUUAAAGUCUUU
ensembl:lncRNA